ensembl:misc_RNA 7SK 7SK RNA
GAGUGUGAGGGCAAUCUUGCUGCAACAUCUGUCACCCCAUUGAUCUCCAGGGUUGAUUCGGAUGAUCUGGCUGACUAGGUGGGUGUCCCCUUCCUCCUUCACCACUCCAUGUGUGUCCCUCGUUCCAUGUGUGUCCCUCCUUAAGCUGGGUGCUCAAUGGCAUGGCCUUCCCUUAAUAGAGACAGAUUGUUCUUUGGUUGAAGGUAUCUGAAUAGCUGCAGUCCCCUGCUAGAACCAACAAACAAGCUCUCAAGAUCCAUUUGUAGGAGAACAUAGGUAGUCAAGCUUCCAAGACUCCAGACAGUAAGGUGCUGCAUGUAGCAGUCUGCCUUAAAAA